UUCCUCGCCACCGUUCAUUCAACUGUUCAUUUAACAGUGAAAUGGCGGUUUUGCCCCUCGAGCUGUAUGCGGAGAGAAAAAGGCCCGAGUUUUCUUCUGUGUUCUAGAAGCCUACAUCGACUACAAGCUUCGUUCCAUUUUCGGUUUUGUUCUCGGAUACAGACGCGGCGUGAAACGGAGUUAUCAAGCGUAUCGAUCAAGCUCUCAGAUAUAAAGGUCGCUGGGGUAGCAGAGAGAAGGGGAGAGAUCCAAGAUUUUCUUCCAAGCUUCGGGUCAUUGCGGUGGCAAAAAGAAGGGGAGGGAUCGAAGAUUGUGGUCGACUUCCGGAGGAAGGUUGAAAAAGAGUGGGGGCGUUUCUCAGUUCGUGUAUAGUGUGUGCUUAGUCUAGAAGUUGUACAUAUUGAAGGAGCGGGGAUUUGCUUAAGAAUCAUAAGCAGUUGUGUCUUUGAAGGCUUGGGUUCGUUUUGGAAGAGGUGUGUGCUGAGAUUGUGAUCGAGUUUAGGAGACGGGCUUUGGGAGCAAAAGAGGGUGCAGUGGAGAAACGUCGCCAAUGCUGCCUUGAAGAAAUUUGAGAUUACAAGCAUGGUGGAAAAGACCACUAAAGUUAGGAGAAUGAUGGAGGAAUUACAAAGAUACACUUUAAUUCAGUUAAGAAAAACAAAACCCCCGCAGCAUCGCGCGGGAAGGAUUAUCUAGUUAAAACUAAAGGCCAUGCUGCUAGUCUGCUAAAUAAUUUUCCAUCAAUUCAUUUCCACCUUCUA